rnacentral:tRNA from 1 species
GUGACCGUGGCCGAGAGGCAAGGCGCUGGGCUGCAACCCCAGUCACCCGCGUUCGAAUCGCGGCGGGCACU